rnacentral:rRNA from 1 species
GCCAGCAGCCAUAUCAUCCUGCAACUCACUACUGGCAACCCACUGAAGCUCAACAGGUGUGAGCCUGGUCAGUACCUGGAUGGGAGACCUCCUGGGAAAAACUAAGGUUGCUGCUGGAA